rnacentral:rRNA from 1 species
UACGAAGGGGGGCUAGCGUUGCUCGGAAUUACUGGGCGUAAAGGGAGCGUAGGCGGAUAGUUUAGUCAGAGGUGAAAGCCCAGGGCUUAACCUUGGAACUGCCUUUGAUACUGGCUAUCUUGAGUACGGGAGAGGUGAGUGGAACUCCGAGUGUAGAGGUGAAAUUCGUAGAUAUUCGGAAGAACACCAGUGGCGAAGGCGACUCACUGGCCCGUUACUGACGCUGAGGCUCGAAAGCGUGGGGAGCAAACAGG